ensembl:snRNA U6 U6 spliceosomal RNA
GUUCGCUUUGGCAGCACAUAUACUAAAAUUGCAACAAUACAGAGAAGAUUAGCAUGGAUCCCGUGAGGAAGAAAAGCAGGAUAUACACAAAGAUAUUAUUAUU